UACGUAGGGCCCGAGCGUUGUCCGGAAUCAUUGGGCGUAAAGAGCGUGUAGGCGGCCAACUAAGUCCUGCGUGAAAUCCCGGGGCUCAACCUCGGAACUGCCUUUGAUACAGCACGUCUCGAGUCCGGAAGAGGUGGGUGGAAUUCCUAGUGUAGAGGUGAAAUUCGUAGAUAUUAGGAAGAACACCGGUGGCGAAGGCGGCCCACUGGUCCGGUACUGACGCUGAGGUGCGAAAGCGUGGGGAGCAAACAGG
rnacentral:rRNA from 1 species